UUUUUGAUGAUGAUGAUGAUCACAGUUUUAAGAUGCCCGAAAACGGCUCCUACUCUUGUAGCUAAGCCACGCGUCCCUCCUCUUUCAUCACACUCAAGAUUAUGAAGCCCCCUGUUAAAGCUUUCUGCACUUCAUUUGCCGGAGGGAACUCAGCCCCAGCCCUCUAAUUGCCCACAGGUUACCCCACUGGCUGGACAUUUCCCAGUGUACAGUGAGAAUCUGCUGCUGGGGUUUCAGAAUGGAAUUCCCCCCUUGAAUAGUGUGCUCCACAGCUCUAAAGAACUCUGUGCCUCCGAAUGGACACCUGGGGUGCUGAUCAACUUCUCCUGGAGGUGCCCACCCGGUCUGGAUGAAGAUGACCUCCUAGGAAACCUUCAUAGGCCUGCUCCUGUUAUAGCAGUGGUCCUCAACCUUCCGGACGCUUUUAUGCAGUUCCUCAAGUUGUGGCGACCCCAACCACAAAACCAUUUUCAUUGCUACUUCAUAACUGGAAGUUUGCUCCUGUUAUAAAUUGUAAUGUAAAUAUCUGAUAUUCCCGGUGGUCUUAGGUGACCCUGGGAAAGGGUCAUUUGACCCCCAAAGGGUUUGUGACCCACACACUGAGAACCGCUGUGUUGUAGAGUCUCCAGGGGAGAAUGUUCAGCCAAACCUUUGGCUGUUAGACACAGCCCUGGACAGUGUGAGAAUAUAUGGGACUUUUGGAGAAGAUGACAUGAUCAUCCUUUCAUAUGUUAUUUCAUAACACUGCCCUCCAUAUAUGUCACUGCCUGGGAGUCCCUGACCCAACAAAUAAAUGCACACUGCCCAUUUUGUUAA